UACUGGUCAUCUUGAGUUGUAUUGAAGUAGGCGGAAUAUGUAGUGUAGCGGUGAAAUGCAUAGAUAUUACAUAGAACACCAAUUGCGAAGGCAGCUUACUAAGUACUAACUGACGCUGAUGGACGAAAGCGUGGGUAGCGAACAGGAUUAGAUACCCUGGUAGUCCACGCCGUAAACGAUGGAUACUAGCUGUUCGGGGCCUUGAGCUCUGAGCGGCUAAGCGAAAGUGAUAAGUAUCCCACCUGGGGAGUACGUUCGCAAGAAUGAAACUCAAAGGAAUUGACGGGGGCCCGCACAAGCGGUGGAGCAUGUGGUUUAAUUCGAUGAUACGCGAGGAACCUUACCAGGGCUUAAAUGUAGUCUGACAGCUUUAGAGAUAGAGUUUUCUUCGGACAGAUUACAAGGUGCUGCAUGGUUGUCGUCAGCUCGUGCCGUGAGGUGUCAGGUUAAGUCCUAUAACGAGCGCAACCCCUGUCGUUAGUUGCCAGCAUGUCAUGAUGGGGACUCUAACGAGACUGCCGGUGCAAACCGCGAGGAAGGUGGGGAUGACGUCAAAUCAUCACGGCCCUUACGUCCUGGGCCACACACGUGCUACAAUGGCCGGUACAGAGAGCAGCCACGUCGCAAGGCGGAGCGAAUCUAUAAAACCGGUCACAGUUCGGAUC
rnacentral:rRNA from 1 species